UGAGACAAUUGCAAACGGGCUGGUUCUGCAUCUCGGUUCAGUUUUGAUCCAUUAUUCUCUUUUUGGCCUGAAAAGAAUAAUCAUUUGUACGAGUAACCAAACGAAUGCGUACUUUUAAUUGGACACGUCCAUUUUGCUCAGAAUUGUGUCCUCUUCGCAACCAUGAAAAGAAAUAGGACCUCUUUACGUGUAAAAUUGGAGAUAUAGCACCCGAUAGUCCUUAAGGCCUUGAAAAUAUAAAACCUGCAAAAAGAGAGUAAAACCCAAGGUAGCUCCAUUCUAAAUAUGUAAAAUGCAUAUUUUACUACUCUAGAUUUCACACAUAAAUGUGCUCAUCAGUUGGCUUAUGAGGUGUUAUGUUAUUGUGGUCCGUUUAUCUUUGUUGGAAUGAUUAUUAUGCUUAAAUGUUGGUUUUGAAGGGAUUUAUUUGCUGCAUUGUAGGUACCUAGCCAGUGGAUGUGAAUGCUAAGAGGGUUUAAGAUGUUUUCACACACAAAAGAUUACUACAACUGUCGUUCAUGACCUUGAUAAAAGAUUUGAGGUCUUGAAGAUGAGGAACUGUAGUUUGGAGCAAUUUUUAUGGCUGUAAUUCUCUUUGAGGAGUCUUUUAUUUUUAUUUAUUUUGUUGGUAAACGUGACUCUUUUGAUUCAUUUUGUAAAAUUAUGGGUGAUGGACUGUAUUUACAUCCAUUGGUUGCUUCUUCGUUUUUAAGCACUUCUCCUUAUGUAUGGUCUCCAAGGAUGUAGUUGCAGACUUGUAGUUAAUGCAGUAGGUAGAAGUAGGUGGACCACUAUUUUCACUGGGUAUGAUGCUUGAAAUUGAAGGUCUUCAUGCUGUUCAUUGUUUUAUUUUGUUAACAGCUAACUACCAUGUAUAUUUUUCAUUUUUGUUCAUAUAUUUAAUCAUUAUUUGGUGUUCU